AGAGUUUGAUCCUGGCUCAGGACGAACGCUGGCGGCGUGCCUAAUACAUGCAAGUCGAGCGCGGGAAGCAAACAGAACUUCUUCGGGAGUGACGUUUGUGGAACGAGCGGCGGACGGGUGAGUAACACGUGGGCAACCUACCUGUAAGACUGGGAUAACUCCGGGAAACCGGUGCUAAUACCAGAUAGGCACCAUUUGCGCAUGCGGAUGGUGUGAAAGGCGGGGCAACCUGCCGCUUACAGAUGGGCCUGCGGCGCAUUAGCUAGUUGGUGAGGUAACGGCUCACCAAGGCGACGAUGCGUAGCCGACCUGAGAGGGUGACCGGCCACACUGGGACUGAGACACGGCCCAGACUCCUACGGGAGGCAGCAGUAGGGAAUCUUCCGCAAUGGGCGAAAGCCUGACGGAGCAACGCCGCGUGAGCGAGGAAGGUCUUCGGAUCGUAAAGCUCUGUUGUGAGGGAAGAAAGGAUGCAGGAGUAACUGUCUGCAGGUUGACGGUACCUCACGAGGAAGCCCCGGCUAACUACGUGCCAGCAGCCGCGGUAAUACGUAGGGGGCGAGCGUUGCCCGGAAUUAUUGGGCGUAAAGCGCGCGCAGGCGGUUCACUAAGUCUGAUGUGAAAGCCCCUGGCUUAACCGGGGAGGGUCAUUGGAAACUGGUGGACUUGAGUGCAGGAGAGGAGAGUGGAAUUCCACGUGUAGCGGUGAAAUGCGUAGAGAUGUGGAGGAACACCAGUGGCGAAAGCGGCUCUCUGGCCUGUAACUGACGCUGAGCGCGAAAGCGUGGGGAGCAAACAGGAUUAGAUACCCUGGUAGUCCACGCCGUAACGAUGAGUGCUAGUGUUGGGGGGGAGUAAUCUCCUCAGUGCUGAAGUUAACACAUUAAGCACUCCGCCUGGGGAGUACGGCCGCAGGCUGAACUCAAUGAUUGACGGAUCUCUAGAGGAUCCCCGGGUACCGAGCUCGAAUUCGUAAUCAUGUCAUAGCUGUUUCU
rnacentral:rRNA from 1 species